rnacentral:misc_RNA from 1 species
AUUGCCUUCUCUUUCUGCGUUGUUUUUCGUCCCUGUGGUAGGAUUUAUUUUCCUGGAUUUGAAGUGGAUUUCAUACGUGAAUCUGGAAAUAGGUGGGAACGUAAUGAUUAUUAUGGAAUGAUUAUUUAGCUAUAAGGACGUUGCGAAUUGGAAUGAUUAUUAUGGAGAUCAGUAUUUUUCGGACUUAUCACACGUGUUGCUUUCAUUCAA